UGAAUACGAGAUGCUACGGCGUCGAAGCAGUGUAUGUCAGACUUCCAAGAAAAGCUCAAUGUCAUAAAUAAAGAAUGCCUGUACCAUAACCGACACAGGUGGGUAGGUAGAGUAUACUAAGGGGCGCGAGAUAACUCUCUCUAAGGAACUCGGCAAAAUAACUCCGUAACUUCGGGAGAAGGAGUGCCUUCUAUUAGAAGGUUGCAAUAACAAGAUCCAAGCAACUGUUUAUCAAAAACACAGGUCUCCGCUAAGUCGUAAGACGAUGUAUGGGGGCUGACGCCUGCCCAGUGCCAGAAGGUUAAAGAAGUUGGUUAGCUUUGGCGAAGCUGAUGACUGAAGCCCUGGUGAACGGCGGCCGUAACUAUAACGGUCCUAAGGUAGCGAAAUUCCUUGUCGGGUAAGUUCCGACCCGCACGAAAGGCGUAAUGAUUUGGAUACUGUCUCGGAGAGGGACUCGGUGAAAUAGACUUGUCUGUGAAGAUGCGGACUACCUGCACCAGGACAGAAAGACCCUAUGAAGCUUUACUGUAACUUGAAAUUGAAAUUGGACUUUAUUUGCGCAGCAUAGGUGGAAGGCGUUGAGAUUACUCUUGCGGGAGUACUGGAGCCAUCAGUGAGAUACCACUCCUAUAAUGUUAGAUUUCUAACUUUGGAUCAUGAUCUGGUCAAAGAACAGUUUCAGGCGGGCAGUUUGACUGGGGCGGUCGCCUCCCAAAUGGUAACGGAGGCGUACAAAGGUUUCCUCUGAACGGGUAGAAAUCGUAUCUAGAGUGUAAAGGCAUAAGGAAGCUUGACUGUGAGACCUACAAGUCGAGCAGGGACGAAAGUCGGUCUUAGUGAUCUGACGGUGCUGAGUGGAAAGGCCGUCACUCAACGGAUAAAAGUUACUCUAGGAUAACAGGCUGAUCUCCCCCAAGAGUUCACAUCGACGGGGAGGUUUGGCACCUCGAUGUCGGCUCAUCGCAUCCUGGGGCGGUAGUACGUCCCAAGGGUUGGGCUUUUCGCCCAUGAAAGCGGUACGCGAGCUGGGUUCAGAACGUCGUGAGACAGUUCGGUCCAUAUCCGGUGUAGGCGUUAGAAUAUUGAGAGGAGCCUUCUUUAGUACGAGAGGACCGAGAAGGACAUACCUCUGGUGUACCAGUUAUCGUGCCAACGGUAAACGCUGGGUAGCUAUGUAUGGAGAGGAUAACCGCUGAAAGCAUCUAAGUGGGAAGCCUACCUCAAGAUGAGUAUUCUC
rnacentral:rRNA from 1 species